UUCACCCUUGCACUCCCUUGUUCACCCUUGCUUUCAUGUGUAUCCUUGUGCUGCUCACCUCUGUGCACUCCUGCUCCCUUGCGCACCUACGAACUCACGCAAAAACUCGAGCACUCUGUAGAGUACCCUUGCACGCCCGUUUUUCCUUGUUUACCCAUGGGUACACCUUUGAUCAGAACUGUUUUCCCUUGUUCCUGGCUUCCUUGACAAUUGGUCAUAAAUUAUUGAAUAAGCGCAACAACAGUUGCGGUGGAGAUUGUAAUAAUUAAAGCAGUAAAAGCUGUUAAGAUGUAAAAAGAUGAAACAACAAACUUUGCACAGUUCCUAACAAACUAACAAAGCUAACAAGCUUUAAUCACAAUAAUACUUCAAAAAAGCUUUAAUAUUCAUUGCAUCCUCCCUCUCCCUUUUCAGAGACGAAUUGGCUUCGCAAUAAAGACUUUGUUCAGGUGGUGGGUAGCGUAACUAGCCUUUGCAGAGCAUUGCUGAGAUUAAGCAGAACAGGUUACUGAAUAAUACAAGAAAUAUCCAAUGCUGUCUGCGUCCCGUUAUCCUCUGUUUUGUUUCCUUGAAGGCAGCCAAUCUUUGGCUGACCUUUGGGUGGGGGCUGGGGUUUGUGCCCAUGUCUUUGUUGUUAUUAUCUUUGUCAUCUUACUACACUCUUUGCAUCUUAUGUUGCACCACUUACAAUUUUUUUAUCUUGUGGGGCAAACUGCUCCUUGACGUUUUCUCCACUAGUAUUAUAAUUUUUAGUCAUAAUAUUAUUUUCUUGAGAUCCUCAAAUUUCACUUGCUACCAUAAUCAAAGUAAUUAACCAAAAUAAUAUGCAUAUUUGUGAUGGCUCUGUUUAAACAGCUUAUAUACUAAAUCAGUCACACAUCUUUACUCACAGUACCAUAUUUACUUGAAUAAGCGCCUGGUGCUUAUUCAAUUUUUUUUACUCUCAGACGGGGCGCUUCUUGUUGGGGGAGGCGCUUAUUUAAGGGAGGCGCCUAUUUCAAAGGACAAAUUUCGAACAAAAGUCCGAAGUGUUUUUAUUAAUUUAAUAUCAGUUUUAUACUGCAUCAGUUUCUUUUCUUUUUAUAUCAUUUUUAAAACGUAAAGCAGCUUUUUUCAACUUUCAUCCAUUAAAUAUUUCCCUUUUUUUUGUCCAGAGUCUAUGAGAUUCUGCUUUCUUUAAACUACAUUAUGAUGUCAUUUUACUCAGUUACAUAAAACCUAGGGAGGGGGUGCUUAUUCGAGUAAAUACGGUAUGAGUUUUUGCUCUUAUUUACUUUUUUUAUUAUAUUAUUCUAGAUUAAUAACAGAGUGUUAGACAGCAUGAAUGAUAUGUCAAAAGAAAGAUUCACUAGAAAAAGAACAUCUUCUAGGAAAAGCAUUAUGUUAUUUAAAAAAAAGUCUUGUGACAACUGGAUGAAAAAGCUUUUUUCACAUGAAUAUGUAACCAUAAAUGCAGAUGAUUUUCUGUUGAAUGUGCUUUGUUUUACAAUAAAUGAAAAUUAACAUAA